rnacentral:rRNA from 1 species
UACGUAGGGGGCUAGCGUUGUUCGGAAUUACUGGGCGUAAAGCGUACGUAGGCGGAUUGUUUAGUUAGGGGUGAAAUCCCGGGGCUCAACCCCGGAACUGCCUUUAAUACUGGCAAUCUAGAGUCCGAGAGAGAUGAGUGGAAUUCCGAGUGUAGAGGUGAAAUUCGUAGAUAUUCGGAGGAACACCAGUGGCGAAGGCGGCUCACUGGCUCGGUACUGACGCUGAGGUGCGAAAGCGUGGGGAGCAAACAGG